GUGGGGAAUCUUGCGCAAUGGGCGAAAGCCUGACGCAGCCAUGCCGCGUGAAUGAUGAAGGUCUUAGGAUUGUAAAAUUCUUUCACCGGGGACGAUAAUGACGGUACCCGGAGAAGAAGCUCCGGCUAACUUCGUGCCAGCAGCCGCGGUAAUACGAAGGGGGCUAGCGUUGCUCGGAAUUACUGGGCGUAAAGGGCGCGUAGGCGGACAGCUUAGUCAGAGGUGAAAGCCCAGGGCUCAACCUUGGAAUUGCCUUUGAUACUGGCUGUCUUGAGUUUGGGAGAGGUGAGUGGAACUCCGAGUGUAGAGGUGAAAUUCGUAGAUAUUCGGAAGAACACCAAUUGCGAAGGCAGCUCACUAAGGCGAUACUGACGCUGAGGCACGAAAGCGUGGGGAUCGAACAGGAUUAGAUACCCCUGUAGUCC
rnacentral:rRNA from 1 species